rnacentral:rRNA from 1 species
UUCCAGACUCCUACGGGAGGCAGCAGUGGGGAAUAUUGCACAAUGGGGGAAACCCUGAUGCAGCGACGCCGCGUGAGCGAUGAAGUAUUUCGGUAUGUAAAGCUCUAUCAGCAGGGAAGAAAAUGACGGUACCUGACUAAGAAGCCCCGGCUAACUACGUGCCAGCAGCCGCGGUAAUACGUAGGGGGCAAGCGUUAUCCGGAUUUACUGGGUGUAAAGGGAGCGUAGACGGCAGCGCAAGUCUGGAGUGAAAUGCCGGGGCCCAACCCCGGAACUGCUCUGGAAACUGUGAAGCUGGAGUGCAGGAGAGGUAAGCGGAAUUCCUGGUGUAGCGGUGAAAUGCGUAGAUAUCAGGAGGAACACCAGUGGCGAAGGCGGCUUGCUGGACGAUGACUGACGUUGAGGCUCGAAAGCGUGGGGAGCAAACAGGAUUAGAUACCCCCGUACC